AUUGAUCUUUUUGGGAGGGCGGAGAAAUUGAACCGGCUGUUUGCUAUACGACGUUUGAGGUGCGCAGGUUCAGUUGGUUGAGUGGGUGCUGAUGGAAGGCAGGAAGAAAUACGGAAUAAAGGCGAAGUGGACGCGUUCGCAUAUAAUCCAUUGUCAUCUAAUAAUUUAUAAUAGGCGGACCUCGGGCUAAAAAUUGGAGCUCUGGAGCAACCACCCAUGUUUGAUUCAAUGGAUCGGGCGUUUUCCCAACGCCUCCACCCUGAUGAGCGAGCUUCAGCCAGAGGGCUACUGGUUUUUCCUCGUCAACUUGGUGAUACCUAUGAAAGAACAUAUUCUAUGUUAUCCCCAGUAGCACGACUACCAGCAAUUGAGGACCGAUGUAUUUGCAAGAAACCGAUACUAUGUAUUGUAUUGUUUUACUAACAUUCUGUAGUUCUGUUCCUUCUCAUUUAUUACCAGCAUCAGCAAAAUGAAUGGCUGCGUUGAUGCUUCGCUGGAUAGACAUUUUUGGAAAUGAAGUUAGUGCUGGUAUACAGUCUGGCUGUUUUCUCCUUCCUUUUCUUGGUUACCUGAUACAUCUAGCACUUUUGCUGAGGAAGUGCCAAUUCAGAGUCCCACGGGUAGCUUCUUGAUGAAGUAGUCUUAGAUAAUUCUUGUAAUUAUGGGAUCUAUUUUAGUUGUUUCAUUUUUAAAGGUAUUGAGUAGAAAAACAUAGGCUAUCAUGCAACGUGGAGCUUAAGGAUUGCACUCAGUGAAUAGCGGCCGAGUAUAAAAAAACACGGUUUUAAUAAAAAUAAAAACCCUAAUGAAGUGAUAUCUCUUCUCAAGAAUAAUUCUUUUAUGACCUUUUCCCGGAAAAGUGAUCCUUGGCUAUUGUUUUAAAACUUAUUUUCAAUUAGAACUAACCUCUACCUUUUCUUCCUGUGUUUUACCCAAUAAUUAACUCCAAAGUAUUCUCAUACCUCAGAAGUAUUCUAUCCUUCCCUUAAUACAGAAGAUGUUUUACUGGUAUCAGCCACUUCAUCAGCCAUAAAAAAGACAAGAAUGCCCACCCUUUGAAAUAAUGGGCAUUCUUUGAAGUCACUUAAGUAAUAAUGGCAGUUCAAAAUGGUCACUUUCGUGUUUGAACUUUCCUGGAAUGAAUGCAAGGUAGUCCUAAAUUGACAUAUCUUCAGGAAAUAUUUUUACCUAUUUUUACCAUGGCAUAUGAAAAAGCAAGGGUUCCCUCAACUUGUGUUACUUUCUGCAAAAUAUUUAAUUGCUUUUGUAUUAUUAAAUAUUAAAUUAAUAUUAGAUGAGCUGCUCUGAAGAAAGCCAAACCAGGGAUAGAUGAGAGGUGCUGGGGAUUUGAAUGAUAGGUUAAGUAAAGGGAUACAAAGAAUUUGUGGGGUAAGAAGAGCAGCUUUUAAGAAGAAUAAAACUCAAUGGGAAGGAGCUAGUAUGGUUCUUGAAAGUGAAAAGACAGAAUAUGCCAGGGAAUGGAAUAUAUAUAGAUAGCGACUUUCUCAUUAAACUUCACAGUGUCCCAGACUACAAUUCCCAGCUAGCAUGCCAAACUCUUGUGCUGAUUGAGAAUUAUGAGACCUGUAGUUCAAUGCCUUUUUAAAGGACUAAGCCACCUUAAUUGGAAUGUAUGCUUCGUACCAUGAUAGGUUUAAAGAAACUCAACUUUUAUCACUUUUAAAUACAGCUGUCAGAAUACAGUACAAUGUGGUAUUAAAUACUAGAAAUGCAGAGAUUAUACGUUUUGAGUAAAGAAAUUCCUAGAUACUAAAAAAAAAAUGAAGUUUAGUUUACAGUAUAUUGGGGCCUCAGUAAAAUUUUGUUUAAAUUGUGGUUUUUACUGUAUUUUGUUUUUUAUUUGCCAUACAGAGUUUUCUUUUGGUAAAUGUGCAGCUAUAUAAAUGUAUUUAAUAAAAUGAGUAAUAUUGACAUCUAUACAAUGAACUUAAAUGUACCUACUCAAUAGUUCUCUUGAAGGUAAUGAGGCUUAUUUUCAGGUUAGUGGAUACUGAUGACUUCAUCCUAACUCACUGUCAACAAAUGUCCCCAACCUUGUGCCUCCAGAUAUGUUGCAUUAAAAUCCCAGAGGUCUAAUUCACUACAUCUGGAAGAGGCUGCUUCAGACAGCACAUCAAACAAACAUGAUGCCCAGGGACUGAGUUUGGUACUUUCUUCAUACGUAUGCUUCAAAAUAGCAGUCAACAGUGUUUUCUUUCUCCCAUACAACACAUUGAUUUAAAAAUUCUUGUAUUUGUUGCCAUAAUAAAGGACAGAUAUUUGCAUGA